rnacentral:rRNA from 1 species
AGUGAACGCUGGCGGUAGGCCUAACACAUGCAAGUCGAACGGCAGCACAGGAGAGCUUGCUCUCUGGGUGGCGAGUGGCGGACGGGUGAGGAAUACAUCGGAAUCUACUCUGUCGUGGGGGAUAACGUAGGGAAACUUACGUUAAUACCGCAUACGACCUACGGGUGAAAGCAGGGGACCUUCGGGCCUUGCGCGAUUGAAUGAGCCGAUGUCGGAUUAGCUAGUUGGCGGGGUAAAGGCCCACCAAGGCGACGAUCCGUAGCUGGUCUGAGAGGAUGAUCAGCCACACUGGAACUGAGACACGGUCCAGACUCCUACGGGAGGCAGCAGUGGGAAAUAUUGGACAAUGGGCGCAAGCCUGAUCCAGCCAUACCGCGUGGGUGAAGAAGGCCCUCGGGUUGUAAAGCCCUUUUGUUGGGAAAGAAAUCCAGCUGGCUAAUACCCGGUUGGGAUGACGGUACCCAAAGAAUAAGCACCGGCUAACUUCGUGCCAGCAGCCGCCGUAA